rnacentral:lncRNA from 1 species
AGCAGCUAGCAGUGUGGAGAGACUGAGGAUUGCCAGAUGAAGGACAGCCGCCUGAGUGCCAUUAUAACAUAAAGAACCCAAGCCGAGGCAGAACAGGCAGGGAUCUAUGGACUGAUGAUAAAUAACCAGGAGCCUUAUCUGACCUGGCAUAAACCCACCGUUUUCCUCAGCACAGUGGACUCUGAGGAGGACGAGCUGGAGGAAGAUGAGAUACACAUUCUGUUUGUCCUCAGGCUAAUGUUCUCCAAAGCUCAUUACGGCUUAAACGGAGGAGGUGGAGAACUCACACGAAACAUCAAAAGAAGCCGAACCACAGGGGUGAUCACAGAGGAGAGAGAGACAGAGAGAGAGAGAGACAGAAGGAUGGACAGAAGUUAGAAAGGCCACCUAUCUGUGCAGCUGUGCAGUCUGGACUUAUGGACCUCUGCACAGUUUACCCCUGACUGUGCAGCCAAUCACCCAUCCAACAUCACCUAUAUGUUUUUGCAGUUCAUGCACCUCUUCUAGGCCUCACCACAGAUGUACAUGAGAAAUCCUGCAAAGAUGAGGUCAGUUCUUUGUUAGAACGGUGCUCUGAGAACAAUAUUAGUCUCAAUAUGAGCAAAAACAAUAGAGAUUAUUGUGGACCACAGGAAGUAGCAGCGGGGUGGUCACUCUCUUUAGACCUCAGUGGAGCUGGAGUGGAAAGUGUUAGCAGUGUUAAGUUCCUGAUGACCUCACCUGCAGCCAGUAGCGCCAGCUGAAUGCAAGUUGGACCAUUGGUUAGAGUGUAAAGUCUGAGUAUGUAAAACUCAGUUAAUGUAAAAUUAGUGAUAUGCAGCAUUUCUGUUGCACCGUAGACACAUAGGGCCCUAUUUUAGCGAUCUUUAGGCAAGCCGUCAACUGUGCAGCUUCAUAUAAGGCCUGUCAGUGUGUCUUUGCUAUCGUAACGUCGGGAAAAGUAUCCCUUGCGCACAAAAUGCUUGUACAAAUUCUCUUAAGUAAUCAUGGUUGUGUUUUGGGCAUAACGUAACGUGCAAUAAACCAUUCAGUGUGUCAUUUGCCA